UUAGAAUAGUGAAUAAAAGACCUUAGAUGGUAAUUUGUGAGUCUUGUGGUAUGUCUUUAGUAUCAGUCUCGUGAUUGUGUCGAGUGUGGAGUCUGUUGAUAGUGUCCUAUAUGAUCGUUGUUGCCGAAUGAAUGCUAGGGAGCUGUGAUUAUUGAGUCUACCCAGAGUUUGUUUCCCUGCCUUCCAUAUUAGUUAUUUCGCGAGGACGCGAAAAUU
rnacentral:lncRNA from 1 species